GAGGCCAGGGACUCCCGGCGGAGGAGCCCCAAGGAGGCCAGCCUGACGACUAACGAGUUGCCAUGGCAUCCUACUACGAGAUCCUAGACGUGCCGCGAAGUGCGACGGCUGAUGACAUCAAAAAGGCGUAUCGGAAGAAGGCUUUACAGUGGCACCCAGACAAGAACCCAGAUAAUAAAGAGUUUGCUGAGAAGAAGUUCAAGGAGGUGGCUGAGGCAUACGAAGUGCUGUCGGACAGUAAGGGCCAGGAUGAGAAGGACCUGCUGAGUGAAGGACUGAGCUGCUGCUAAAACCUAUAGCCUGUGUCCACUGUGCACCCUGCUGCCCCCCUAGUGUCGGUCUCUGGACAGAUCUCGGAGGGGCCUAGCCUGGAAGGGGAGGCGGUCAACGCAGACGGAGGGAGAAAUGAUCUUGGUCUCUCUUUCCAGAGCAUAAGCGGGAGAUCUACGACCGCUAUGGCCGGGAAGGGCUGACCGGGGCAGGAACUGGCCCAUCUCGGGCAGAAGCUGGCGGUGGCGGGCCUGGCUUCACCUUCACCUUCCGCAGCCCGGAGGAGGUCUUCCGGGAGUUCUUCGGGAGUGGGGACCCUUUUGCGGAGCUCUUUGACGACCUCGGCCCCUUCUCAGAGCUUCAGAACCGGGGUCCCCGGCACUCUGGCCCUUUCUUCACCUUCUCUUCCUCCUUCCCCGGGCACUCUGAUUUCUCCUCCUCGUCUUUCUCCUUCAGUCCUGGGGCUGGUGCUUUUCGUUCCGUUUCUACAUCUACCACCUUUGUUCAAGGACGCCGCAUCACAACGCGCAGAAUCAUGGAGAACGGGCAGGAGCGGGUGGAAGUGGAGGAAGAUGGGCAGCUGAAAUCCAUCACAAUCAACGGUAUCCCGGAUGACCUGGCACUGGGCUUGGAGCUGAGCCGUCGCGAGCAGCAACAGUCCGUCACCUCCAGGUCUGGGGCGACACAGGUCGGGCAGACCCCUGCCUCACACUCCCCCGACGGCGACCUCUCUGAGGAUGACGAGGACCUGCAGCUUGCCAUGGCCUACAGCCUGUCAGAGAUGGAGGCGGCUGGGAAGAAACCGGCAGGUGGGCGGGGGGCACCGCGACGACGGCAGGGGCAGCCCAAGGCCCAGAACCAAGAUCCAGGCACAGGGGAGACCUGUGAGGGUGCCAGGGGCGACACUGCCAAACCCAGCCCAUCUCCGGAGGAGAAGGCCUCUCGCUGCCUCAUCCUCUGAUCACCAGGCCCAACCCACCCGAUUCAGGGGGACCAGGGGUCCUGCUCACUGUCAGGCGAGCAGAGAGGGGCGUGGCCUGAGUUGCAGGGUCCCUCUCCACCUCCAUGAUUCCUCCCAGGUCCACCCCCCUGCAGUGUGGACUCGGGAUUUGCUGUGCUCAGGCCAUGGCUGAUCGGUCCCUGGGGAAGCCCAAGGUGGGGGGACUCAGGGCAGUGGGAAGGCCUGGGGAUCAGGAUGCACUUAUUAGACGGGGCGUUUCCAGGGGCACUAGUGGCUUGGGUCAGGCCUUUGCUGCCCCCCGUCUUCUGCCACCUGUGUUGCUGAUGAUGUUAAGGAGGACUUGGCCUGAGGUUCUCUGAGCCCGUCGGCAGCCACGGCGCUCCCUUCCGGCUGCAGACACCCCACCUUGGUUUCUGCACGGUGUUGAGCUCUGACGUCUCUGUUGCUUCCCUCCCUCCUGGUGCUGCUUCUCUCCUCCCUUGCACUCUUCUCUCUGCAUCCCCCGCGGGCCGCAUCGCUUGCUCUCACUGCCGUCUGGCUGGGACUCCCUUCUUCCUUCCCCCAGAAGGCCUCUUUGUGGCGAGGAAGAUGCUGUGGCCGGUAGGGCCAUAAGGUCUUCCGGGGAGGCUAGCUGGGUGGGGCGGGAGCCUCUCGGCCGUCCAGAUUCGGAACCGGAGCCCACUCCUCCUCCCUUCCUCUUGCUGCCUCAGCCUGCCCCGGGCCUCGGGACUAGCCAGAGGUGAGGCCGGCUAACCCUGGAGAGGGGGGAUGAAGCCAGGGUGCCCCAGGAGGGAGGCCUAGGAGGGGACCGGACCUCGUCCUCCCGCACCAUGCAUCAGGGCUCAGGGAGAGGCCACAGGGCUAGCCCAGGGCUGCAUGCUGAGCGCCCUCCUCCACAGCUUGCUGCUGACCCUCUCUCCUGUCACCCCGUCCCUGCUCUCUCCCCAGAUGUGUUCUGAGCUGGAUGUCCAGGACCCAGAGUUGCUGCACAGUUCCAAAAGGACAGCGCCCAACCCUGUGCACUGGGAGGGGACCCUCCAUUCCUCUCCCUCGCCUGUGCUGAGCAUAGAGCCGGGCCUGGGUGGUGGGUGGGGGCUGGGUGGGCGGUAGUCUUAGCCUGGAAACGCUUCUCUGGGUGUUUGGUGCUCUCUUGGGGACUACAAGUCCCAGAAUGCAAUGCACCCUGCCUCCUUGCUGUUAGAUCAUGCUUGGGGGAAGUGGCAUGUGGUUACAGGGCUGUGCAUCUUGGGACAUGUAGUUCUGGCCCUGGUCGGCCUGACACUUGCUGUAAGAUGGGGGAGAUCUUGUCAUUUGAUUUGUCCCUGGCAGGGGUAGCAAGAAUGUGGAUGAAGGGGUAAUGGUUCGAGCUCUGUUUCCCCUGACAGCUCUUGCUAGCGCUCGGGUUAGAGCGUAAAAAUCAAGGCCCUGUGGCAUCCAGGGGAGGCUCCUUCCCUGUGCACAGUCCUGGAGUUUGAGGAUGAGCCGGAGCAGAUCAACGCAGCAGGGCUAUGGGCACGGGCUGGCAGAGAGCUUGGAAGGAAGCCCUCUCGGGGGUGUGUGUGUGUGUGUGUGUGUGUGUGUGUGUGUGGCUGGAGUUGGUGUGUGACGGAUGCUCCAGGCAUGUUGCUGCUUGUAUGGCUUCUUUGACCUCUGACCCCGCUGCCCAUUCUUUCUCUCCAACACCGCAGAAGCUGCCUCUCCUCCUCCCUCCCUGGGGAGCCGGGUGGCCAGGGAGGGGAGUGGUGGAGCCAGGGUGUUGCCAGCCCCUGUGCCCUUGAGUCUCAGAGAUGUAUCAAAGCCAGCUGGGCUGAGCUCAGACCAAGAGGAAAACACUGGAAGUCAAUAAAGCUGAAUUUCGAGAGCUUGG